rnacentral:rRNA from 1 species
UACGUAGGGUGCGAGCGUUAAUCGGAAUUACUGGGCGUAAAGCGUGCGCAGGCGGUAUGUUAAGUCUGAUGUGAAAGCCCCGGGCUCAACCUGGGAAUGGCAUGGGAAACUGGCUUGCUGGAGUGUGGCAGAGGGGGGUGGAAUUCCGCGUGUAGCGGUGAAAUGCGUAGAGAUGCGGAGGAACACCGGUGGCGAAGGCAGCCCCCUGGGCCGACACUGACGCUGAGGCGCGAAAGCGUGGGGAGCAAACAGG